GGGUUCAAAUGACCCG
rnacentral:rRNA from 1 species